rnacentral:rRNA from 1 species
UACAGAGGGGGCAAGCGUUGUUCGGAAUUACUGGGCGUAAAGGGCGCGUAGGCGGCCUGCUAAGUCGGACGUGAAAUCCCCAGGCUCAACCUGGGAACUGCGUCCGAUACUGGAUGGCUUGAAUCCGGGAGAGGGAUGCAGAAUUCCAGGUGUAGCGGUGAAAUGCGUAGAUAUCUGGAGGAAUACCGGUGGCGAAGGCGGCAUCCUGGACCGGCAUUGACGCUGAGGAGCGAAAGCCAGGGGAGCAAACGGG